GGGGAAUUUUGGACAAUGGGCGCAAGCCUGAUCCAGUCAUGCCGCGUGAGUGAAGAAGGACUUCGUGUUGUAAAGCUCUUUCGGCCGGAACGAAAUCGUGCGGGCUAAUACCUCGCAUGGAUGACGGUACCGGAAGAAGAAGCACCGGCUAACUACGUGCCAGCAGCCGCGGUAAUACGUAGGGUGCAGGCGUUAAUCGGAAUUACUGGGCGUAAAGCGUGCGCAGGCGGCUUCUCAAGUCAGAUGUGAAAUCCCCGGGCUUAACCUGGGAACUGCGUUUGAAACUGGGAGGCUAGAGUGCGGCAGAGGGGGGUGGAAUUCCACGUGUAGCAGUGAAAUGCGUAGAUAUGUGGAGGAACACCGAUGGCGAAGGCAGCCCCCUGGGCCAGCACUGACGCUCAUGCACGAAAGCGUGGGGAGCAAACA
rnacentral:rRNA from 1 species